UCGAGCGAGCGGAACUACAGAUUUACUUCGGUAAUGACGUUAGGAAAGCGAGCGGCGGAUGGGUGAGUAACACGUGGGGAAUCUGCCCCAUAGUCUGGGAUACCACUUGGAAACAGGUGCUAAUACCGGAUAAGAAAGCAGAUCGCAUGAUCAGCUUUUAAAAGGCGGCGUAAGCUGUCGCUAUGGGAUGGCCCCGCGGUGCAUUAGCUAGUUGGUAAGGUAAAGGCUUACCAAGGCGAUGAUGCAUAGCCGAGUUGAGAGACUGAUCGGCCACAUUGGGACUGAGACACGGCCCAAACUCCUACGGGAGGCAGCAGUAGGGAAUCUUCCACAAUGGACGCAAGUCUGAUGGAGCAACGCCGCGUGAGUGAAGAAGGUUUUCGGAUCGUAAAGCUCUGUUGUUGGUGAAGAAGGAUAGAGGUAGUAACUGGCCUUUAUUUGACGGUAAUCAACCAGAAAGUCACGGCUAACUACGUGCCAGCAGCCGCGGUAAUACGUAGGUGGCAAGCGUUGUCCGGAUUUAUUGGGCGUAAAGCGAGCGCAGGCGGAAGAAUAAGUCUGAUGUGAAAGCCCUCGGCUUAACCGAGGAACUGCAUCGGAAACUGUUUUUCUUGAGUGCGGAAGAGGAGAGUGGAACUC
rnacentral:rRNA from 1 species